CAAUUGGCCGACCAUGCCCAGGAGAAAGGCCUCUGGUUUCUUCAAAAAGGUAUAUUUAAAUACCUUUUUCAUUUCAUUAUGAAUCAUCUCCCAAAGUGUCUUAAUCCUUGGGCAUGUCCACCAAAGGUGAACUCUAAUCCUCAAAUUCGUCUGUUUUUCUUUAAGUUCAGUCAUAGCAAGCGUCAACUUAUAUUCAUCAAGUUGCUUCUGUAGGGCUGGGGCUCUCUUGCUCUUUCUCUCCAGUUGUGUUUCUUUACAUUCAGCAACAACAGCUUUUUCCCUGGCCUCCUCCGCAGUUUGCCGUAUCGAAAUAGGUUCCUGUGUCAAUUUCUGGGUAGUUUCUAUAUUAGUAUUAUUUAUACUUUCUAUAUUUAAGCUGGUUUUAAUGAUUGAAACAUCCACUUCACAUUUAUCGUGUCCAUUUUCCUGUGAAGCUGAUCCAAUGAAUCAUUUAUCUUAAAUAAUGCAGCCACUAGAGCCUCUUCUGUCAACAUUUCUCUUGGUUUUACAUAUACUGGUACAAAGGCAGCAACAAAAAAAGCAGGGUGGCCUGAUGGUGAAGCUCUCCUGGAUUAUUGCCAAGUCCUCCCAGACCUUAAUGUUUUGUCAGCAGUUGACUGGUCUGUUUUUCCUCUUCCAUUAACCAUAACACUUAAAAGAUUCAAGGUCAGCCCCAGAGUCUCACGGUUUUUAACUUGCAGCUGGAAAUUUCCCUAACCCAAUUCUUGUAAAGCAACCGGUUUCAAAGGCUUCCACUAGGGGGAAACAGUUUCUAUUUGUAAUAGUCAAUAGUAUCCUCUUUUAAACAAUCCGAAAAUUAGUUUCAAGUUAGUUUCAAUUUUCAGUUACUUUUACUCCUUUUUAAAGCAGCCGGAAACAGUAGAAACAAUGUAUUUCUCUUGUUUAACUAGCUGUCAAUGAACGUUCUAAACGCUGUCAAUGAACAUUCCAAAAUACGUCAGUCCUACUAGCAGCCCGUUUCCAGGGUCAGAGCGGCGGUGUUUUAGAUCUCUUCGCUCUCUCCUGCAGGCAUAUUCAGUCCACAACUUCCCCCCCUCUUCUCCUGCCUCCAAAGGGGGGGUUUUGUUCUUUACCGAUGGAAAUUUAAUCUUUACAAAAGACUUUCCAGGACUCCAGCUUGCAACUUCAUUGCCUCAGUCUAUUUACAAAAGGGGGAGGCGGACUUCCUGUUUUGAACCUCCCCGCUUCGAUACCAAAUUAUACUUUUAAAAAUCCAAUUCUCCCGUUUCAGCUCUACUCACGGGUAAUUACUUUAAAGUCAAAUUGUCCACAGGAAAAAGUCAGCACUCUCCGGCAACGGCUGUGCGGCUUCGCUCCGUGGAAGAAGCAGACGAUUCGAAGCACCGUGCCACUCACCCCACGUCGCUCCGGAGCCCCGAAAACGGGUUUCCCUGCGAGUAGGGGAGGCGCAGAAGGUGCCCGCCGAAUCCCACGUUCACAGGCUUCUCCCGCCUGUGAUUUUUACGGGUCUCCGCCUUCGCCGUGGCGGCCAGACCCAAUUUCCCACGGGGCAAAUUCCUCCCGGUCAGAGGAAUUCCGCCAUUGCCGAUGGCACCAACCCGGAAGUCGGGGCUUCUGCUUGUCAAACCAGCGUUUGGUGGUGGGGCAGUGUUAUGUAAGCAUUGGAACAAUGUGAAGAAUCAGUACUACAAUCAGUACUAUUGUAAAGGUGGUUGUAAAUUCCAGCAACUGUUCAUUUUUCAUUAAAUACAGCAUGAAUAUUCAACUGUUGGAAUACUAACAGAUUCUAAGAUAUCUAUGCAUAUAUUUUCCAUGGAUUAUACCUCCCUCUUUAGUUCAUUUUUAAUGUUUGUGCUGCCUUUUACUGCACUUCAAAAAAGAAACAUAAAUAUAAAAAUCCAUAGCAAAGGUAGAGAACCUUUUUUCAUUUCAAGCAGCAUUCUCUCUCUCUCUCUCUCUCUCCCUCCCUCUCUUCUACCAUAUCUAUAUGGGCUGCAUUAAAUUAGUCUUAGGGACACAUAUAACCCAUGUGGCCACAGGAUGCUCAUCCCUGAUGGGAAGGGCCUCUCCCCCCAGCUUGCUAUUCCUUCAAAACCUCAGUUGAUAAAGAUUGAUAUCUAUGGCUUUUUUUCAAUCUCUUUGCCUAACUUUGGUAUGUUAGAUUUAUUUCAGAGGUUAAAUGCAUUAUCAUCCUUGUUAGGGGUCUCUGGCUGGGCUUUUGUGAAUUAAAACUGAUUAGAAUGGAUGGUGAAUACGAGGACAUAUUUCAAGGUCACCAGCUCGUUGUUGAUGUAAAAAAGCAUGACUCUGUAUUAUUUAGAGAGCAACCUAGCUCAUGGAAAUGUGAGCUUCCCUUUAUAAAUAUUAAUCUACAAAUGCAUCCUUCUUGUCAGAGAGGGGUUGUGAUCAAAUCAAACCCCGAAGCUAAAACCGUAGAACAAGAUUGUGGUAAAGGAUGUCUCCAAGAUGUCAAGAAACAUCCAGGGCACUAUUAAAGAAAAGGUGAAUUUGAAAACGUUGAGACUAUGCUAAGAGGGGAAAUAAUUCAUGAAAGAAGUAGAGAGGGAAGCUGAAGUUCAAGUUGCACUAGUUUUAAAAGUCCUGGGGGUGACAGAGUCCCCAUUAAAACCCUUGGCAAGGAUACAAGCUGCUUGCUGUGUUGGGUUGUGAUGGUGGUGGAAUAUACGGAGAAAAAUCACACCAAACCAGGCUAAUGAGUAAACGUUGAAUGUUUCUUGAGAAAAGCAGAGGCCAACUUCCCGCAAGCAGAGCAGAUUCCAAGGGGGAUAGACCAGGAAUGACCCUUGAAUUAAUGAUAACAGUAGUAGUAGAAAUGAAAAGUCAGGGACAACUAAUCAAGGGCUCGGUAAAGCCUAAGAUCACAUCUCUCAUCUUAGAAGGCACCUCUGAGUUUUACCAUUACUGGAACAGCAUAGGAAUGGAGCUUAUUUGGAGCAAGCAUGCGAACGAAGAUGGGCUGAAAAUGCUUUGGGGACUCUAAAACGAAGAAAUCAAUUGACAGGCCAGAGUGAAGCGAAGUUGCUGUAGAACCAACUUAAUUCUCACUAUUGGAGAAACUCCUUCUUGAGACCGAGAGAGAAUCAAUUCCACAGCCACGCUGUGGUAGAUUGGUCCUAUUUCAAAGUAAUCCAAAUAAUAAUUGUGCCCUAGAGGCAACCUUGUAAAGAUCUAGUGCCCCUUCUCCAUAUACAAACACUCCAUUUUCCUUGCCCAGCCACAUAGUGAAAGGAUUUCUGAUUUCCCAUACCAAUAGCAAAUAGGAACAGCAUCUGUGUCUGCAUAAUACUUGGUGGCAUUAUUGGACUCCAAUGUUUCACCAUCUCAGUUGUCAAUUACUUAUAGCAGUUGUCUCAGGAGUUGGUUAAGACUUCAUAGGACAGGAAUGGAGAACCUGUGACCCAUCCGAUGUUGCUGGACUCCAGCUCCCUUCCACUCCAGUCAACAUAGUCAAUGAUCAGUUGAUUAUGGGAGUUGAGUCCACCAACAUCUGGAAGGCCACAGGUUCUCAUCCUUGAGAUAGGGCUUCUAAGUGCUCCUCAGAUGUUAUUUGGGAGGGUUGCUGCACUUUUGUUGGGGUUUAUUGGGGAUGUGUUUUUUGAUAUUGAGCUUCAGACCAUAUUUUGCGCUCUCCUCUUUCACCUUCAUUAAAAGGUUCUUUCCUCAUCACUUUCUGCCAUCAAGGUUGUGUCAUCUGCAUAUCUGAGGUUGUUGAUAUUUCUUCUGGCAAUCUUAAUUCCGGCUUGGGAUUCAUCCAGUCCAGCCUUUCGCAUAAUGAAUUCUGCAUAUAAGUUUACUUCCAGGUAAAUGUGUAUAGGAUUGCAGCUCCCACUGAACUCAGUGAUACCUAUUUCUAAGUAGAUUUGCAAUAAAAAGCCCUCUCACUGGCAUGCCUAGGAUUGUAGAGGAAUAACUUCUAUCACCAGUAUUUUUCCUACUGUUUGUCUUUGAGCAUUAAUAGAGAUACAUUUCUGGAGAAAGUAAUUUUAACCCUUCCCCCACUGCCUUGACUGAAAAGCUAGUGCUAGUUUUGCAAUUCAUUGAACUGAUCCAAAGUAAAUGAAUGCAAUUAAUUCCACCUCCGUCAAGGAAUUGCACUAAUUAUACUAAUUAGCGUAAUCCAUUCUACUUUCACAGACAUAAAAGAAGGAAGGCCCUGAAAUGUUGGUCAUAUUGUUACCUUAAGAGCAAGAAAGAUGAUUUUGGAGAAAAGAAUACGACUAAAUAAACAAAGGCUGGAAGGAAAUGCUUUAACUGCACUAGCAAAAAUCUGAAACAAAUACAGUACUGGAUCUUUCAAACUAUUUCUCCUGGCUAGAAACACAAAGAGCAGGUUUUCCCCACUCCCAGGACUCAAAAACUUCACAACGAAAAUGAGGAGGAGUAAAUGAUAAACCGAAAAAGCAAUACUAUUAUUCAGAAAUAAGCAGUACAUUCCUUGCCAGCUUUGUUCCUGGCACCACAGUGGAAUAAUGCUUCACACACACCCUGGGUUCCACAAAAGCAGCUAGACCUCAUCCUGGUCUGUCCUAAUAAAAUGCUACAUUUAUUUUGUGCAGAAUGUGUAACUAUGGGAUUUCACAGGAGGUUGCUUUAAGGGAGUAUAGCAGGGUUGUUGUUUUUUAAUGCCAG